UGUUAAUGCUUGAUUUAAUGCCCUAACAUAAUUACGUGUUACGUUAUAUAUUAAGAAAUAUUUAUAUUUAAUGUCAACACAAUAUAUCGCACUGAAGUAGUUGGCAAGUUACUGAUGCAGAACUACUGUUGGCUGGCGUAGCAGAUGUGAAUCUAUCGCCAUCUGACCAUAAAUAUUGUAGUUUUACUCGUGUAUGUUCAUAAUAUUAAUGUUUGAAGCUGGGUUAUUUCACAAGUAUUUGUAGUUAUUAAUUAUUCUCGCAUCUAGGAAAAAAGGACAGUUCAGUAUCGUGUGGUAGCUAGGUAGCGUUGCUACCUAAAAUAAGUUUCUCGAUGAUGAUAACCUUUCACAGACCUGUACUGAAAUACUGUGAUUGCAAAUAAUUUUCUGACGAGGAACUACAACUUGGUUUGCAAGCCUGACCACUAGCUAAGGUGCAGCCACUGUAAAAUAACAUACCGGUAUAGUUGCAUGCCCGGUAGACCGCCAGGGUACGUCCACGUGUUUGGAAGCACGUGUCAUUGGGUGUGUUCUUCUCCCCAGGUCCGGUCGGAUAUGGACGUCCACGAGAAGAGAUCUACGCAAAGUGGUAUUCCUGUGAAGAAUGGAGAGAAUUUUGGUCUCCGCUGAUGAGAGAUCCGUUGGCACAGUGAACAUCUGAUGCCAGGUGUGGUGACCCUAAGAUGGACUCACUGGGUUGACCGAUACAGCUAGACUGUGGUGGAAAAUCCAGGUUGAUGCUUUCACUUCACUGGAAUGGCUGGAGGAUUUGCACCAUGUAGUCCUGUGACGUCAACAGUCUAUUACUAUGGCCAGUGUGUGACCCUGAGGAUCUGCCGAUUGGAACCUGUUCUAAGGGGCUUCUAAGAACUGGAAUUGUGGGGAUGAGAUGGAUCAAGUCAAUCUCUUAUCAACUUGUGAACUGGACAUUGAUUAUUAAUCCCUAAAUAAAAGGUGUGCUGAA